rnacentral:rRNA from 1 species
UACGAAGGGGGCUAGCGUUGCUCGGAAUCACUGGGCGUAAAGCGCACGUAGGCGGAUUGCUAAGUCAGGGGUGAAAUCCUGGAGCUCAACUCCAGAACUGCCUUUGAUACUGGCGGUCUCGAGUCCGGGAGAGGUGAGUGGAACUGCGAGUGUAGAGGUGAAAUUCGUAGAUAUUCGCAAGAACACCAGUGGCGAAGGCGGCUCACUGGCCCGGUACUGACGCUGAGGCGCGAAAGCGUGGGGAGCGAACGGG